CGUGCCAUUGCACUCCAGCCUGGGUGACAAGGGUGAAACUCCAAAACUCCAUCUCAAAAAAAAAAAUGGUUAAGAUGGUAAAUCUUAUGCAUAUUUAACACAAAAGGUCAGCUCCUACCCUUGUUAAACCUCUCCUGGUCACCCUUACCCUCACUGGGUAAGGUGACUUCUGCAGCCUCUUCUCGAUUGGGGGGCAUGCCUGUGGAACAGAAGUUCUCACACACCUCACUUGUAAUGGUGGACUUGUCUUUUUUUCUGUAGACUGUGAGCUUCUUGAGGGAGUAUUUCUAUGUUUUGCUUUGAGUCCCAGGUGUUUAACACGAUAACUGUCUCUAUUUGUUGACUAAUUGACUGAAAAAAGUGAAACUUGAUUUUGUGACUUUUUUAUGUUCUAUAUACUACACAAGGACUUACUGUUUUAUGUUUUAAGCGCAUCUGAUUAUUUUGGAUUGUAAGGUUCUCAAAGUACAUCGGCCACAACUGUGAGUAUUUUCAUAACUCAGAAAUUAUUACAGUAUUCUAGUGAGUCCACUGAGUGUGCUCAAUACUGAUGAGAUAGCUGUCUUUUGUAGGUAGGGAGAUAUGGGAAAGUUACAGUUAGUUUCAGCUGGUAGCAGGAGAAAAACAGCUUGUUUGGACAUAGCCAGCAUUUAACAAGGAUCUUUAGUUUUCACUGCAACUAUUUGGGAAACUUAGUCAAUGGAUACUUAAAAUAGGAAGUAAUUGAUUCUCCACUAAUUUAUUCCAACAGUCAAUUAUUAAUCAACAAAUAUUUACUGAACGCCUACAGUGCACCACCGUUGGGCAUGAAAUGGUGAAUCCAGUCCGAUGGAGUCUUUUCCCCCAUGGUUAAACAUUAAGAACGACGCCGUGUCUCUCUCCAAGAUGCCAAGGAUACAUUUAUUUUUAUUCUAAUUACUUUUAACAAAGUUAAAAAAUGAGAUUUAGAAUUUCUCUAACACUGAGGCUCAGAAAGAUCAUCUUGUUUAAGAUCACGUCAUCCAUGAUCUUGAUGUCUGUUUACGAUCACAUGAUCCGUGAACUUGACGUCAUCAGGGCAGCCGUGAGCGCCGCUCUUCUGGGUGACACUGGCCCAUCUUCAGCAGCUCAUUAACAAGAAGCAGCCCCACGGAGUGCCUGCCAAACAAUCUUAAGAUGACUUUAUAGUUUAAAAAUGCAUUUCAAUCAUUUUUAUUGGCCAUUUUGUAUAACACCCUGACUGGUCUUUGGCAAUAUUAUCAUGGAUUUUUUUGUUUGUUUGUUUUUCCUUUUGGUUUUUGAGAUGGAUUCUUGCUCUGUCACCCAGGCUGGAGUGCAGGGACGUGAUCUCAGCUCACUGCAACCUCCACCUUUCGCGUUCCGGUGAUUCUCCUGCCUCAGCCUCCCGAGUAGGUGGGACUAUAGGCACUCACCACAACGCCCGGCUAAUUUUUUUGUAUUUUUAGUAGAGGCGGGGUUUCGCCAUGUUGGCCAGGCUGGUCUCAAACUCCUGACCUCAGGUGAUCCACCCGCCUUGGCCUCCCAAAUUAUCAUCAUUUUAAGGCGAUGCAGAAACAAGUGUUUGUGCAAAACUGGGACGAGGUGGGAGAGAAACAAGAGAAUGUUUUUCAGUGAUCCUAGGCCCUCUAGAGCACCCCUGAUAGAGCUGAGGUCAGAAAUCAUAGUGAGCAGGCAGCUUCUUCAGCGCUUCUGUUUCCCAGGCUUGGCCUCAUGAUGGACAGGAUCUCCCUCUCCAGGAUGCGCUUGAUUGCAGCUCAAUAACACCAGAGACUCUAGCUUGGAGUCCUUGCUGUUUUAAAGGUAUCCUAGUUUUCAUCAUCAGUAGAAAGGAGUACUAUAUUUUGGCACGGUGAGGAUUUUGUACACAAACAGUUAAAUCACUUAUCUAGUCACUAUUUCGUUAAUAUUAGAUGUUUUGGUCUAUUCUUGCAUUGCUAUAAAGAAAUGCCUGAGACUGAGUAAUUUACAAAGAAAAGAGGUUUAAUUGGCUCAUGGUUCUGCUGGCAAGUGGCUGCAUAGUGUCUUCUAUUUCUGGGGUGGCCUCAGGGAGCUUUUACUCAUGGCACAAGGCAAAGUGGGAAGAGGCAUGUCACAUGGCGGGAGCAGGAUGGAGCGAGAGAGAGAGGAAGCAGGUGCCACACACUUUUAAACAACCAGAUCUAGUGAGAACACACUCACUGGACAGAACCAAGGGGGGAUGGUUCUAAACCAUUCACGAGAACUUCACCCCCACAAUCCAGUCACCUCCCACCAGGCCCUACUUCCAACACUGGGGAUUACAAUUUGACAUGAGAUUUGUUGAGGACACAAAGCCAAAUGAUAUCCUUAGAAUACACAACAUGGUGUUUUCACAUGGGAACUGGUGGCAUUUGGGCAACUUUCUGUAAGUGUUGCUACUUACUGCUCCUCUCAGUCUGCACUCCUGACUCCAUCUUGCUGUAGGUACCUAACCUUAACAAUACGGAAAGGAGCCUCCUACCUGGAACUGCAUAAAGGAAACAAAAAAUAGAUGUGUCCAAGCUAUGACAUGAAUUACUGGCACACAACAAAUAACCAAAUUAAAUGACACCCUGUUACAGCUCUUAUGGCUGGAAUCACAAGAAAAGGUCAUCAAUUCGCUCAAGUCAAAAAAGGGAAUGUAUUGGUGUUGAUAACUACAAAGUCCAGUAGCAGUCUUAGCAUUAAGCAAGGCUGGAUUCCAGAGCUUAAAUUAUCCUCUGGUUCUUGCAAAGAUUGACAUCAACUACUUUGGGUUACUUGGUCCUUGCCUUUAGCCAAAGGAGAGAAAUAGCUUCCUGAGUAGCUCUGGUUGGUCCAGCUCGGACCUUGCCUUUCCUUCCCUGAGCCAGUCUCUGGAACCAAAGGAAUAAUGCACUCUGACUGGACAGUCUGCAUCUGAUAGAGACAAAACAAGGCCACCUAGGGAAGAGGCAGUUCCAGACUGGGGAAGAUUCUGGGAAAAAAAAAAGAUAUCUACAAUACUAUGUGUAUAAACUCACCCACAAAAAUCCUAGUAGCACUAACACUGUCUUAAUUUCUCCAUUAGGAAUCAGAAAAACCUUUAAUGAAGAGUGACGGAGAGAAUGGCCUGUGAUUGGAUUGUGAGCCUGUUUCUGCCACCAGGCAGCCCCUCUGCAGGCAUCUCCCUCCCACCUGACCCGUGGUCUGUGCGAGUGCAAGUUAAAAGGGUCAUUUCCUUGCCUCAGAGCUGAUCUCAGCCUUAGAUACUUUCCAGUUUCUCUGCUACCUGUCAUUCAGUCUUUUGAAGUACAGCAUUAAUUUUAACUGUGAUUUCAUUGCAAAAACAAAUUUGCCAAUGGAAUGCUAUUCGUGUCAUUUAUUUCCCCAGAUCUUCCUAUGAGCUCAUCUCUCUCAUUCAAUUGUCUCUACUCCAAUGUCACUUCCUUGGCUGAAGGAAAAAUCAGUCCUCAUUCCACACACUGCAACCUUGCCUUAGUUGAUUUACAGCACAUAUCGUAUCAUAACCUGACCACAACUACCUCUUGCUUAACUGUUUAUUUUUUCGCUCUCCUCCCAGAAUAUAUCCUAAGACAAAGAAUUGCAUAUUGGCAUCGUAGUUUCCAAUCUAAGCACAUGCGCAAGGGAACUCAGGUUAGUUGAGCUAACAUUUUCUUCCGCUAUAAACUAGUGUUCCUUAAAGAGCAAUUUUUUAGAAUACUGGUUUCCUUGAUCAAAAUAUGUUUGGGAAAUGGAAUAUAUGCUUCAUGAGGACAGGCUAUCUUUUCA
rnacentral:lncRNA from 1 species